rnacentral:rRNA from 1 species
GAGUUUGAUCCUGGCUCAGGACGAACGCUGGCGGCGCGCCUAAUGCAUGCAAGUCGAACGGCGCCUUUCGCCUUCGGGCGGUUGGCGUAGUGGCAAACGGCUGAGUAACGCGUAAGGGACCUGACCCUGGGAGGGGGAUAACCCACCGAAAGGUGGGCUAAUACCCCGUACGUUGGCUCUUUGACAUGGAGAGUCAGGAAAGCCUCGGCGCAAGCCGUGGCGCCCGGGGAGGGCCUUGCGUCCUAUCAGGUAGUUGGCGGGGUAACGGCCCACCAAGCCUAAGACGGGUAACCGGUGUGAGAGCAUGAACGGUCAGAGGGGGACUGAGACACGGCCCCCACUCCUACGGGAGGCAGCAGCAGGGAAUUUUGCGCAAUGGGCGAAAGCCUGACGCAGCGACGCCGCGUGGGGGAAGAAGGCCUUCGGGUUGUAAACCCCUUUUCUGGGGGAAGAGCAAGGACGGUACCCCAGGAAUAAGCCCCGGCUAACUACGUGCCAGCAGCCGCGGUAAUACGUAGGGGGCGAGCGUUGUCCGGAAUUACUGGGCGUAAAGGGCGCGUAGGCGGCACAAGAAGUCUCCGGUGAAAUCUCCCGGCUUAACUGGGAGCGGUCCGGGGAAACUCUUGAGCUGGAGGACAGCAGAGGAGGGUGGAAUUCCCGGUGUAGUGGUGAAAUGCGUAGAUAUCGGGAGGAACACCAGUGGCGAAGGCGGCCCUCUGGGCUGUACCUGACGCUGAGGCGCGAAAGCGUGGGGAGCGAACCGGAUUAGAUACCCUGGUAGUC